GACGAACGCUGGCGGCGUGCUUAACACAUGCAAGUCGAGCGGUAAGGCCCUUUCGGGGGUACACGAGCGGCGAACGGGUGAGUAACACGUGGGUGACCUGCCCUCAGCUCUGGGAUAAGCCCGGGAAACUGGGUCUAAUACUGGAUAUGACUCCAUGACGCAUGUUGUGGGGUGGAAAGCCUUGUGCGGCUGAGGAUGGGCCCGCGGCCUAUCAGCUUGUUGGUGGGGNGAUGGCCUACCAAGGCGACGACGGGUAGCCGGCCUGAGAGGGCGACCGGCCACACUGGGACUGAGACACGGCCCAGACUCCUACGGGAGGCAGCAGUGGGGAAUCUUGCGCAAUGGGCGAAAGCCUGACGCAGCGACGCCGCGUGAGGGAUGACGGCCUC
rnacentral:rRNA from 1 species